UCCGCCGUGCCUGUGGACCCCUGGA
rnacentral:piRNA from 1 species